AACGUGCGAAACUUGGUCUUUUUGUUUCUAGGUAUAGCUCACGUGCAGUGUGCGUGAGUGUGGUGGUUUGAGUUAGUGCGUGAAUUCACAUGCUGCAUCUUUUGGGUUGAGGCAUAAAAGAACUAUUUACGCUAGCUAUUACCUACUUGUUGCUCAUUCCUGAUGUCUUCACCUCAUUCUCCCUGCGACUCGGCAACUACUCCCACUGACUACCGGAAGGGCGCGGGGUGGUUGCUGGUCCGCCUGGUAGGUGUUCGACGAAUUGCAGCAAUAGUACAGCACGGCACAUGUUCGAGUAAACGUCUCUGGAAGACGCGUUCAAGCUGUUAGCCUGGUUGUCUCGUGGAAUGCUUUCUGGUGGCACUUGGCCCCGACGGCCCAAACUAGAUGCGUGGCUGGGGUUUCAGUGCUGGAUGCCAGAAGGCUCAAGAUAGGCUGCCGUCUGUGAGCUGGAACACCAGUGGGAAAUUGAUUGGCUUUGCGUUCAAUGAGAUGCCACUGAAGGUCUGAACACUUGGUCCAUCUUGGGGUAAAUGCCCUGUUUCCUGGAGAGGAUGCAAGGCUUUACAGAGUACAGGUGGUUAUGCUGCCAGUGUAAAUGGCAAAAUUCAAAGCUUCAGAGCAGCUAUGGCCUAUGGUUGGUAAACAUCGGGAAUUCUGUAGAGUGCUGGAAGUAUGCUCGAGGCUGCCUGUAGGUUUUCUAUUUUACCCUGUUUAAUUUCCUCAUGAUGUGGCCUGAGCAUCUUUCUUUUUAAUAUUCUUGAUUGGACAAGUUCGACAAA